AACAGUAGAGCACCAUCUUCCAUUAUACCCUUUGUUUCCUUCCCUUUCUCAUUUAUAUAUCAUGAAUUGCCCUUUGAUGUCCCUAGCACCAGGGAGCAAAACAGCACCCUCCUCUUCCUCUCCCCUUUCUGAUCUCUCCAAAUUGAAGUAUCUAUAUCUUAGGGAAUUAGAGGAACUUGAAUAUCUGCCACUAGAGUGGCUGCAAAACCUCACUUCUCUUAAGACCUUGGGAUUUGGAAUUGUUGUAAAAUGCGAAUAUCCAUGUCUGCACUAUUUCAACAUCUCACCUCACUUGAAAAUCUGUCUAUUAUUGGCUGCAAAGAACUUAUCAGCAAUGAGAAUGAAGAUGGCGCACAUUGUCUUGGACCAACAAGAUUUGAUCAUCUAUCUAUAGUAGAAGUUCCAAAUUUGGUUUCUCUCCCAAGAGAGCUUAGAGAUGUUACCACUCUGCAAGGGCUUCAAAUUAUGGAUUGCCCUAGUUGGGUGUCUUUUCCGGAGUGGAUAGGCGAUCUCACUUCACUUCAGGAGCUUGGAGUCGUAAAUUGUCCAAAUUUAAUAGCACUGCCCGAAGGUAUGCGCCGCCUCACCUCUUUACGUCGUUUGGCAAUUGCGGAGUGUCCUUGCUGGGAGGGAAGAUGUGAACAAGGAACGGGAGAGGAUUGGCCAAAGAUUGCUCACAUCCCAAACUUUCGGAAUGAUGGCGAUGGUAAUCGUAAAGAAUGGAGAGCAAGCCUAACUCGGCAAAGUUUUCAGGAACAAUUUAAGGUUUUACGUAUAGACGCUUCUUCAAACCUUGCCGACAAUCAGCUCUAACAUUUACAGUAUUUUUUCCCAUCUUGCACUUCAAUGGCAUUUCUAGUAUUGUUUUCUCUUUUAUUUUUUAAAUAUUUCAUUCGUUUCCAUUUGAAAUUUAAAUUUUACAAACGGUAGCAUCACAUAUUAGGUAAAAGACUUAUAAUGGAUGAGGGAAGUCAAUCCCAUCCCAAAUUUUCUAAGGAUUGGUCUUUGAAUUAUCUUCUCAAAGACCACAAGGUGCUGAAAGCGGAAGCAGUAGAUACGAGACUUGGAGUGAAUCAGGAGGUGUUUGUGAAAAGGGUGCUCCAUGUCACUUGCCGAAAAAGAGACAAUUCCUCUUAUAAGUGCUGGCUUGUAACUUUUAUUUGUCUUAGCCCCUGGUCCCAUGUUCCAUUUCCUCUUGCCUUGGAAUUGUGUCCUUUUCACUUAACUUGCUCCUUCCUCGAUCGAAAAAGUCUCAUUAGAGGCCAAGAAGGGAGCUUUAAAAUGAACCUCUUCUUUUUUCUUUUUUUUUCUUUUUCCCUUUUGAAGGAAACCCUGGGAAAGAGGUAGAGCUGGAAGUGGUGCCCCCUCAAGAGUCGUUUGGGUAUUUUUCCGGAUUUCUAUAUGAUUUUCAAAAUGUGCUUGUUAGCUUUGUUUAGAUUAGAAGCACGAUCUUGAUAUUUAAAUCUGGACAUGCACAACUAGUGUUUGAAUAUUAGGAGUUACUAUAUUCAAACACAUUUUCAGUUACUACAUUAAGAAUAGACACAUUUUCAGACCUUGCGGACAAUCAGAUUUGCACAAAGGUCUCAAAUUUUCAGUAUUGUUUCCUAUCUUUCACUUCAAUGGCAUUCCUGUGUGCAUAAUAUCUUGUUUCUUUUUUGUUUUUUAAACGUUUCUUGCAUUUCCAUUUGAAAUUUAUAUUCUACAAAUGGUAGCAUCACAUAUUGAGUAAAAGAUUACUGAUAGACCAGGAAAGUCUUUCCCAUCCCAAAUUUUCAUAAAAACUCAAUAAAAAAAAAAAUUGCAUAACUCUGGGUUUCUCAUAAUCAAAUGCAGAUUUAGACAAAUUCUUUUUAUUGUUAUUGUUGUCUAACUGCAACUCUCUGUGUGCAUUGAAUGAUUUUACCUUUUUGCUGUUUUCAUUGGAAAAUUUUUAGUUAUUGUUGAGUUUAUUAUUCAGUUUUUUGAUGGUUAGAGAGAUAUGCAUAGAAAAACAUCAAUUCAUGAAAUGGAUGUUCAUUGGGGGAUUUAUGCAAUUUGCUCAGAUAUGUCAGCCUCACUUGUACACAAAACAAUGGACAAUAUACCGAGGACUUCCAUGAUGAGGAAGAUUGGGUGAGUAAAUGUUGUAAGCAUGACAAUGAGCUGAGUCUGUGAAAAGGGGACAUUCAGUUAACCAUAUUCUGCAUUUUUAAAUAGUAUUCUGCCUACAAUUUGUUGAGCACCUUUUAUCAGCAUUUGGAACUUGAAAGACAUGAUCAAGAAUCCUAGCUGUCCUUAAAAGCCAUCUAACAUGUAUUUUGCAUCCACAGGUUCUUUCACUUGCUUGAAAGCAUUUUUACCCCAAAAGACAGUGAGAACUUCUGUAUUGAAGCUUAUUUAUGAUGCCCUUGAAAUUGAUUGAAUGCUUCUAACCAUGGUUGGUAAGAUCAUUUAGUGACGAAGAAGCAAGGUGUUUUCUUCAGAAUAUGUAUAUUCCAGCUCUUGAUUCCGAUUCUACACUGGUCACACUCUUUUUCUGGCUGGGUCUACAUGGAAUGCUUACUUGUCUUCAAGUGUAAUUGGUUGCUUGACUGGAACUGAAUAUCAUGUUCGGCAACCACUCUGUUUAUGUAUUUAUUGUUAGUGCUGCCUUUCCAUAUAUUCUUUGGAAUUUAUUUUCGUGGUUUUGUUAUAUCUAAAUAGGCUUUUCAGUGUGUUGAAGAUUCAAAUUUUUUUUUUUUUUUUAAUGUGCAUGAAAUUUAAAAUAUUAGGCAUUGAUGCCUAUGAAAGCCUGGAUCAUAGUAAUCUCACUUUCAAGGCUGGAUGGAAUGAGAUACUUGAAUGUUGGAGCAACAACUGGUGAAAUUUAAAAAUUAUGGAGAUUUACUUGAAUGUUCUCUGCUGAUUGCUCUGGCAAGUUAUUUACAUGCAGAUUCUGCCAUGAUAAAGUCAGUGAAAUUUAAUGGAUAUGUAAGUUCGCCCUUAUAUUGUUUGCUUCAUUGUACAUAGAUAAUAUCUUUAGUAUCAAUAUUUAUUUGCAGGGAAGCUACGGCUGAAAUAUUGUGUAUGCAGUGCUUGAAAAUUCAGCCUGUUGGACCAGUUUGCUCAAUUCCUUCCUGUGGUAGACUAUUGAUAGCAGAGUACUAUUGGUUCUCUCCUUUGCCUGUUGCCUAGAACUGGCUAAGUUAUUGAGUCUUGUUACUGACUUGUUUGAAAUAGGCACAAGAAGAAGAAGAUGGCAGAAAGAUGGACCUCCCUUUUGGUAUUCUAGAAUGUACUGUGAAAUGGGUGAAGCUAUCAUAAGUGUGGGUUAUGCGGAUUCUUUGAUAGCAGUCUACUUGAGAAAAUGAAGAUGCAGGGUUAUCAUGCAUACCAUAGUAAGAGAAGGAGGAUUCUAUCCUGGAGCCUGGAAGGCCGGCCAAAACUGACAAGGCUGCCAUUUUAAGUGAUGCUAUGUGAGUGGUGACCCAGUUACAAAGUGAAGCCCAGAAGCUAAAUGAAUCAAAUGAGGAUUUGAAAAUGAAGAUUAAAGAAUUGAAGGCUGAGAAGAAUAUGCUUCAUGAUGAGAAGCAGAGGCUCAAGGCGGACAAAGAGAAGUUGGAUUUGAAGUAUAGAUGCUUCUUCAGACAUUUCUGACAAUCAGAUUUGUGCAAGGCUCUAACAUUUCCACAGCAAUUCAUGAAAUUGGUUAUGGGAAUCAGGUGGAGAUUUCUACAAUCUGUUUGGAUAUGACAAUCUCACUUCUACCAAGUGACUAAUUUUGACUGGUUAUACCCACUUAUUUCUAAGAAGGUAGAGACAAACAAGAGACUUGCUUGAUGUUGAUAUUGAAACUCAGAUACAAGUGAAGGAAGAUAGACAUAAGAGGAGCUUACUUUGUAUAGAGACAGCAGAUAGACCUGGAUUACUGGUAGAAAUCAUCAAAAUUAUUGCUGAUAUCAACGUUGAUGUGGAAUCAGCAGAGAUUAAUGCAAAAGUUAAUGUACAGGGAGAUCCUAUCACUGGUUUCUAUCCCUCUGAGCAAAAGAGUAAUUAGCGUGUGAUAUCAGUAACGACCCACCUUAACAACUUGCUUGGAUAACAGUCAUGGCUAAUGCCAUAAUCCCAAUAGACCCGAUGAUUGCAGUGCAUGUGUGGCCCAUCUUUGAUCAAGUCUAUAACGUACUCAACCAUCAACACAGCUUGUUAUUCUUUCUCCAUAGCAUGUAUAAAUAAAAUCUAAUAAUGACAUACCUCCAAUAUUCUCAUGACUAAACAAAUGACUAUGCUAGUUUACACAAUAGGAAUAAAUACAAUACAAAUUUCAUGCU